AUGUUCUCAUUAGCUCUGCUGCUGCUGGCUGCUGGAUCUGGUGUGAAGUGUGAAGAGCUGACACAGCCAGGCUCUGUGACUGUGCGUCCAGGGGCUCGUCUGACCAUCACCUGUCAGGCCUCUUAUUCUCUUAGCAGCGCUCGAACAUUUUGGAUCAGACAACCUGCAGGAAAAGAACUGGAGUGCAUUGGUAGUGUACAUAUUGGACACAGCACAUGGUACAAAGAUUCACUAAAGAACAAGUUUAGUAUCGACACAGACUCUUCCAACAGGAUCGUGACUCUGAUUGGACAGAAUGUGCAGCCUGAAGACUCUGCUGUGUAUUACUGUGCCAGAGAACCACCCACAGUAACACAAAGCAUCAUGAGACCUGAACAAAAACCCCUCAGUGACUGA